CGUAAACAAAGGGAAGCGAAGUCGUGAGGCCAAGCAAAUCUCAAAAAUAAACGUCUCAGUUCGGAUUGUAGUCUGCAACUCGACUACAUGAAGCUGGAAUCGCUAGUAAUCGCGAAUCAGAAUGUCGCGGUGAAUACGGUCCCGGGUCUUGUACACACCGCCCGUCACACCAUGGGAGUCGGAAAUGCCCGAAGUCGGUGACCGAACCGAAAGGAAGGAGCCGCCGAAGGCAGGUCUGGUGACUGGGGUGAAGUCGUAACAAGGUAUC
rnacentral:rRNA from 1 species